GACGAACGCUGGCGGCGUGCUUAACACAUGCAAGUCGAACGGACGGGCCCUGCUUUUGUGGGGUGCACGAGUGGGGAACGGGUGGGUGACACGUGUGUAACACGCCCUUGUCUUUGGGAGAUCUCCAGGAAACAGGGGCUAAUACAGGAUAGGAUCUCCUGCUGCACGUUGGGGGUUGGAAAGUUUCGGCGGUUGGGGAUGGUCUGGCGGCUUAUGAGCUUGUUGGUGUGGUAGUUGCUUACGAAGCCUUUGACGGAUAGCCGGCCUGAGAGGGUUGACGGGGACAUGAGUCCUGAGAUACGGAGCAGUCGGCAACGGGAGGCAGCAGUGGAGAGUAUUGCACAACGGGGGGAAGCCUGAUGCAGCAACGCCGGGUGCGUAAUGACGGCCUACGAGGUAUAAACCGAUUUCGCCUGUGACGAAGCGAGAGUGACGGUAACGGGUAAAAAAGCACCGGCUAACUACGUG
rnacentral:rRNA from 1 species